CAGAGUACACUGAUUGGUCAAGCCUGAGUCAUGUGUUCAACCUCAAGCCAAUCACUGUAGUCAGGGGAGCAGAGUUCUCUGGCCAUGCCUCCCUGAUGGGAGUCCACCUGAACCGUGGACUGAGAAUGAAAAGGGUGAUUUCUCACAGAGAUACUGGACAGUCAAAACAUGUCCAUCACAGCUUCUUCUUUCUUUCUCUAUGGACCAGUUUUCUGUGUUUUCAGUCAGUAUGGUAGAAGAAAUAUUGCUAUGCCCAGCUCAAGUUUUACUUUCUCUCUAUUCAAGAACACUAGAAGUCCCUGGGAGACUCUGACUAGUGAAGCUCAUACAACUAACUGUGAUGGUGGAGAUGAGGAUAGUCUUAAAGGUAACACGGUUGCAACAGACUCAUCUAUGCGAAUAUAAAGACUCUUCCUUCUGCAGCAAGUAGAAGGCAUGACUGAAGCAACUCAAGUCUACAUCAUCCCAGCUUCGCAAUCUCCCAAGAGAACAAGAGCCCCAGUUGGCCAACAUCUGAACAUAAAUUCUCAUCAGUCCACCUUCAUAAGCAGACGGGGAGGGUCUCCAGGGAUAACAGGAAUUUAACCAACUUCAGCAAUGAGCCUGGUUUACAGCCUCCUGCCCUGCAGCCUGUUCUUCCACAAACCCUGGGUAAAAUGCAGUCACCUUGUUGGUUUAAACCAGCUCUUGACAGACCCCCGGCAACAUACAGAUGAACGCAAGUGAACUUUCUCAUGACCACGCUAAAGUCUCCACCCUGGGCAACCUGUAGCUUCAUUACCAUGACAUGCAACCUAUGCGCUGACGUAAUGACUCACUGCAUCUGUGCAACUAGACCUCUCCUCGUCAUGCAAUGAUGCUCCCUGUCUCCUCUCCAUUGCGCCAUAAAACCCUCCUGUCACUUUCCCUCGGAAAGACACUGCUUUGGAGAAUACCCCCAGUGUCACCCUUACUUGAGUUAAAUAAAACUCCUAUUGAUCAAAGACA